UACGUAGGAGGCAAGCGUUGUCCGGAAUCACUGGGCGUAAAGCGCGUGUAGGCGGAUCGCUAAGUCUGUGGUGAAAGCGCCUGGCUUAACCGGGCGAGGUCCAUGGAAACUGUCGGGCUGGAGGCUGGGAGAGGGCAGCGGAAUUCCCGGUGUAGCGGUGAAAUGCGUAGAUAUUGGGAGGAACACCAGUGGCGAAGGCGGCUCACUGGACCGGUACUGACGCUGAGGCGCGAAAGCGUGGGGAGCAAACGGGG
rnacentral:rRNA from 1 species